ACACCUACCAGUCAGGGGAGAUACCAUGAUCACAAAGGUGGUUUUCUCAGGGUGAGGUGCCCCAUCGCACUCCCAAUGUGCUGACUUCCACAAUUUCCCCAAAUAUGGGAAACUCAACUACAUAAUUUGUGGUAGUAGAGGACUGUGCUUGUGUCCAUGCUCUCC